UCCUAAGCUAAGUUGACUACGUGCUCUCAAUACUAGUCCAAUUACUGCCCGCCGCCAAGGGUCUUUAAAGACCAUUAUGUAUUAUAGAGAUAUUCAAUAAUUAAUAUAGACCGUGAUUCUUGUCGACAAUGACGCUGCUCGUGUCAUCGUACUACUACUAUAGCAGUCACCAAUUAAAACGCAGUUCUGUUUCAUCAAGUUUUGUCGUGCUCACUUUGAACAUGCCAGAGAAAAAUACAACUAGAAUUGAACAAUGAUUUAGUAAGAAAUAGCUCUGUGGAUUAUAGAGUUUUUUACCUGGAGAGUGUAGAUGCUACAGACUAUAACAGUAUUGUAAUCUUUGUCACUGAAAUUAAAUGUGAUAGUUACUUUAUUAUGCAUUGGAUGACAUCACUAUUCUUGUUUUAUUUAUGUAGCGUUGUUGUUUGUUAGGCGUCUAUUUCACCACAUUAUUGAUGCUAAAUAAAAAUACAGUUUGUCAGCAGAAUCAUCAAAGUAAAAUCAAAUUUGCAUUUCAUUACAAUAUUAAUUAGAACUAAUUGUUGACCAGAAAACUGGUUGGUUAAAAGUAAAAUUGUGUCAAAAAAAAAAAAGAAGGAAAAAAUCACUUUUUUACUAAGUGGUGGAUUAAAUAAACAAAUAAACCCACCAACUAUCAGACAAUACAAGAAUUAUUGGGUAGUUGAUUGGUCUUAAUACAAGAUCAUUGUUUAUGCUAUUUGAUAAGUAUACCUACUAAUAUUCAAAUCCAAUCAUAUUUCUAUAGAUAGUUUUAUAGAUAAAUAAUUCUACGGCUAAUGGGAAUAAUUAAGUAAAAUAAUAAUAAAUAUAGUUAAUAAAAUAAUAUAUACUUUUUAAUUCUUUAAUUUUCGAGAAGAUUAUAGACUACGUUGAACACUUGUUCGUGUAGUGGCCCAAAUAUAAUAUUUAUUCAAUUUUUUAAACAUUAAAUAUUUUCUUUUUUUGUGCCACAGUAAAAUGUUAAUUAAAUUAGUCAAUAUACACCAUUCUAGAUACUAGUUAUAUCAUUAAAAUAACAAAAUAAUGUACAAUUCUUUAAAUAACUAUUAAUUCAUAUUAAACUAUGCUCUUAAAACUGUUUUGGUUCACAUUUGUAAAUCAUAUAUUCUUGCUUAUUAGUUAUUAUUUUCUAAAUAAUAUAAAACCAAAUUGUAAUUAAUAAUAAUAGACCCAAAUGUGAAUUAUUAAUUAUAUUUGUUUACUAAUAUAUUUUUUGUUUAUUAACUAUUAAUGAAUUAAACAAUUGUUUUCAGAAUUUAGUUAAAAUUUUAAUAAAGUUAUCAGAUGGUCUGGUUGAUAGUAAAUUGUAGUGAAAUACAAUUGUUUCUGAUAUUUUUUGUUUCAUAAUUAUAUACCAGGGAUGGAAAAUCCAUGGCACAUGGGCCCAUUAUAUACAUACAAAGAUGCUUUCUUGGUAAAAAUUUAUGUUUCUUAUAAUAAUGAUGCUAUAUUUUAGUGUUUUUCUAUCAAUGAAUCAACCUACAACUACAGUGGAUUUAAGAUUAAACAUACUUUCAUCAAACUGAUGUCUACAGCAGUAGAAAAAUUGUCCAACUGAAAAGUCAUUUUAGCUAUUUGCCUAUUUAUAAAUAAUGUUUAUAAUUUAUUGUUUGUCUAAAUAUUUGUAGUAUGGUAAAGGUAAAUCAAAUCAAACGGUCUUGAAUAUGGUGUGCAAAUACAUAUUGAGUAUAUUAUAUUAAGUAUAGAAAAAAAUAAAAAUUAAAAAAUUCGAAGAAAAAUUGACUUCUAAUUGUACAGGUUAGUUCAUUGUAUUCAUUUGCAAGAAGUUAUUCAUUGUUAUAUAGAUUUGAUUAAAUGCUGAUGAGUUAAAUUCUUAUAUUUUACCCAUACAAUACACUGUUAUUUUUUCUUAAAAUACUGUAAGCAUAUAGGAAUGAAAAAAAGUUUUUACUUAAAAAGUUGCAUAUCAAUUUUUCUAUUAUUUUCAUUAUACAUUGUAUUUAGAUAGGAUAUUUGAAAAAUGCUUAAAUUUAGGCACUAAAAUAUAAAUAUAAAUAUAAAGUGGUUAUUAACACAUCAAAAUUUAACGAUAUGCUCUAGUAAAAUUUAAUAACAUAUAGCUUAUACUUCUUAUAACUUUAUAAACUAAAUAAUGGUUUUGCACUUAUGCGUUAUAUAACUUACAUAAAUUAAAAUAAAAUUUAAUUUUCUUAAUCACAAGGAUGUGUAUUACAUAAGUAUAAUGGAAUACAUUUUAGAUAAGUAAAUAGUAUGUAGAUACUGAAUUAGGACUGGGAUUUUAGUGCCCUAAAAACUAAAAAAAAAAUGCAUUUAAAUUAUAUUUAUUAUAGCUUAAAAAUUGGAAAAAAAAAAUUUUAAAUUAUUUUUAUUUUUUUUAAAUUGUAUGUUGUUAUCGACAGUAACUUGUACAUAUGUAUGUAUGUAUGUAUGUAUGUAUGUAUGUAUGUAUGUAUGUAUGAUGUAAUAAAAAUAAUAAAACAGAAUAUGUAUAUAACGGCGAUCAUUUUUUAGGGAAAGUCUAGUUAUAAUAAAAUUAUUAUUGAUGAUACUAUUAUAUAACAUUACACUUAAACUAUUGAUUUUCAUGUUUUACUAUUUAAAUUUGAUUUCCAAAAUCGCUUCUACAAUGGUUCUAAAAAUGAAUAAUACGUAAGUUUUCAUCAAAUCAUUAGAAUAGCUAAAUAGUAUACCAAAUACCAAUGAUUGAAGUUUAAGUUGAUGUGAUUAAUUAACAUUUAUAUUAUAAUAAUAAGCUUCUGAAAUUUUUGAAUCUAUUAAAAUAUGACAUAUGUACAAGGCUGGGCAUUAACGAGUUAAUAAGUUAAAGUUAAGUUACUUUUAACUAAGUUAAUUAAUGAGUUACUUUUUUUUUAGAAGUAACUUCUAACUUAAAGAGUUACAUUUUUUCCCAAGUUAUUCAGUAACUAACGAGUUAAUUAAUUUUAUUGGCACGGUAAGUUCAUUUUUUUCCUAAACCACAGAUUUAAAAUAAAUUCAAUUUUGUACAAAUUAAUUUUAUAAAAAAAAAAUCUGAAAUUUUAAAUAUAUUAAUUAAUAAUUAUUAGACAAUAAUUUAUAAAAAUAAUUAUCAUAUGACAUAUUGCAUAUUCACAGAAAAUAUUAUAUAACUAUAUAGUAUAUUAUAAACGGAAAUGUUAUUGGGGUUAACCUCGUCAUUCAUAAAAGAAAAAUAUAACAAUUAUUUAGCCAUUUAGGUACUCAGUAUCCCGCCAUACAUUAUUUUAUUAUUUUAUUGGAUUUCAUCACUGAUUAAAGUAUAAUAUACCAAUAUAAGUACCUACAGUAAAUAACUUUAUUACAUACAUUUAUUUAAAAUGUUUGAGACAUUUAUUGAAUUAUUAUGUUAUUUGUUAGCUUAAAAAAAGGUA